UACGUAGGGUGCGAGCGUUGUCCGGAAUUAUUGGGCGUAAAGAGCUCGUAGGCGGUUUGUCGCGUCGACUGUGAAAACCUGGGGCUUAACUCUGGGCCUGCAGUCGAUACGGGCAGACUUGAGCUCGGUAGGGGAGACUGGAAUUCCUGGUGUAGCGGUGAAAUGCGCAGAUAUCAGGAGGAACACCGGUGGCGAAGGCGGGUCUCUGGGCCGAUACUGACGCUGAGGAGCGAAAGCGUGGGGAGCGAACAGG
rnacentral:rRNA from 1 species